rnacentral:rRNA from 1 species
AUGCGCAUUAAAAGGCUCCAGCCUGUUGUUGAUGCUGCUGGGCUUGACAAGGUUGGCGGACCGGAGGUUGUUAAGAAGAACAUGAUGCCGUCUUUUGCGGGUGGGCUUCGCUGUAUGACUGAAGAUUUCCACGAUGCAGUGGCUGUUUCGCAAGUCCAUGGCUCGCCUGAUAUAUCCACAACCUUGGCAUGUGAUCCAGAGUGGCCUGAGAUAAUUGAGACCCUUGAACAUGGGCAAAAAGCAGUCAAUAGAGCUGAUAUUACCAUUCAAAUCCAUCAGAUGAAGCUCCUUGACUACCUGCACAUAGUCAGGACUGGGCAAGUGUUUGGGACAGUGCUUGCUGUUGUCCACACCGUGGAGUUCCAGAAAACGGGGGUGCCCCAUGCACAUAUCCUUGUUUGGCAGGAGAAGAACGAUGAUCAGGCCCCUGCACUUGCUGAUGUUGAUCCAGAUGCUUGUACUGCUGCACCUGCCAACAGCAGGAUUGCCACUACUGCUGCUGCUGCAUCAACCAUUUCAUAA